GUUUUGCUUUUAAAAUAAACUGAGGAUGUUGGAGGGAGGACUCAUUCUUAUUGGGAUGUGAGUGGAUGUGCUGGAAGGCAGGAAAACAAACACUGGACUGGAGACUCUCUGUGCCCCUGACAAGGAAACUGGACCAGUUUUGGGGAAGUUCCAGCUCCCAGGAUGUGAUGUGGAGACCCAGCCUCGAACGAAGUCAGGCCUGAAAAGGCUAACAACCCUGACCGCGGUGGCUUUGGGCCUUGGAUUCCUGGCCAGAGUUGUGUCUUCAGCCAGUAGUUUUACCCGGAGAAAGAACAAAUAAAUCUUGUGUAACCCA